GGCAGCAACACUUGGCAGACCGUUGGACCUUCUUCCUUUUUCUUUUCCCCAUAUAGGAAUCAGUCAGGUGUUUUCAGUGUGGGCUCUGGCCAGGGAGGGUUUGCAGCUUUCCUGAAUGUUCCUGCUGGUCUGUAGUUCACCAGCGUGCUAUGUCAUUCUGGUUUGCUAAAACCACUUAAGUCGUGCUGGAUGAUAGCUGCCUCUGAUAAUGAUUCACAAAGCAUUUGGUGUCUUCAGUGAGUCAUGGAGACUUAAGAUGUAUCAUUUCAUCUAUUUAUCAGAAGAGUAAUUUAGCUGUUGACAUUGUUAACAAAACCAAAACCACAAGCAAACAAAUGGUUAUAUGGAUAGAGAACAGCCCAUUACUAUUACUGGAUAGAAGUCAGGUGCUAGGCCAAGAAAAACUAGCCCAAUUCCUGUUCUUUUACUGCAGUGCAACAUAGCCUUGAUAAAGUCCCACAAUAGCUUGAGUUUUUAUAUUUAUUGCAGUGUUGCAUGAUGGAGAUCUACUCAUAUCCUUUAUUCUGAUCUUUCCAGUUUAAAUGGCAGCAGAUCUGGAGAGGUGGAAAUAAACUGGUUGAUUUGUUAGUGCCUUGUGCGAAGGGGGUCAGCAGUAUCAGAGCUGGAAUUGCAAUUGCCUAGGUCACAGGAAAUUACAGUGAAUUCUGUCCUUUAUCCUGCUUAGAGGGGCCUUGGUAUUUGCAGCCCUCUGUGAGCUCCAUGUACAGAAGUCUCUGUAGGAAUCAGCCUCCAAAUUCACAGGUUAGGGAAGGAGGGUUAUAUAAGGAGAGGAUUAGCUAACAUAAUUAAACAUUAAGCAUCUCUCUGCUAUAACAGUUACUGAGUGAUUAAAUUGUUUGAAAGAGAACUAUUUGGGUGACAGUAGGGUCUGAUACAGGAAUUCAAAUGUCAAAGGUGAUCCCAGGAAAGCUACUGUAGGACCAAGACUCCCAGCUUUCAUGCUCGUAAAUGUAAAUAGCAGUAUAAUGAGAGCAUGAUCAGAAAUAUGCUGAGCUGUGAUUAGGGACUGAAGAGGAAGACCCAGUUCUGCCUUCAUGUCACACAGAAAGAUGAAUCAGCAGGUUAUAUAGAAGAGGAAUAGUGCCAUGGCAGAAACUGUGUGGGGGAAUUGGCAGCUAGAAGGAAAGUUUGAGGCUGCGCAGUUUCAAAAGAAAGCUGUUCAGCAAGAGCUGGUUUUUAUUAAUUGCUUCCAGGGAAUGGUUUUUUAUUCUGCCUUACUGCAAGGAUGAGAAGUCUUACUCUCUUUUCUGUAAUUGAAAGACAGUGACCACAGGAGGACCGUGGCUUCAGCCAAGGGCUGUGCAGUGUGGGGAGAGGGAAUUGAUCGUUUUCCCAUGAUGUCUGAAAUUAUGAAACAGCACAGAGCAAAAAGGGGCUCCAUUAUGAAAGGAUCAAAGCAAAAAACAGCAGCUAGGACUGAGCUGAGUCCUGUCACUCACUUUGAAGUGCCACUCCCUGGGCUAUUAUUUAUAGUUCAUUGUCAGCCCAACAAUAACAAGUUAAUAAAUAAUCCAGGCAUCACUUCUGAUAAAGGAUUAUGUGUGGGACAUGGAGUCCGUACCAGGAGCUUUUCCUCCAAGUUCAGACAUCUUGGAGUAUUGUGCACUUCCUGAAUUGAAGUUUCCUCUGUAACAUGGUUUCUUUGUAUGUGUGCAGUGCCUGGAAGGCAAUGAAGGCUGCGGGUGCGUUCAUAGGACUUCUGCCUGCUUUGGUGCCCAAGACUGGCAGUGCCUUGGAGGGGAGUGAGAGGUUCAAUGAAGCAACAUCUCAGUUCUGCAAAAAUGUUGGGAAGGAGAGCAGUUUGCUUGUGACAAGGAGCAGUGGCAACUGGAUGACAGCUAUGAAGAAGGAGCUGCUCUGAACCAUGGAGACAGAGUUGAUGGUGGAGUUGGUGAGUGGUUGUGCUGUGGUUGUUUCUGAUUCUGAAAUGGAAGGAAAGGCCCAGGGCUGAUUAGAAGUACAGAGGACCAGCUGAGCUACAGAUCUACUCCAAGAGGCUGCAUGUAACUGAUUUGACAUCAACUGAUUUCUUAGAAAUGAGGGGGUCAAUGGUGGGGAGUGGGGUGUCAAACUAUAUCCACUGACAUCAAUGGACCAUCAGUAGCAUAGGCUCAAUGCUCCUGGUGGUAGGGGAUUCUCUGGAUUAUCAGAAACAUUAUCUGUGAUGGCAAAGUCACGAUUUCCACUUUGUAUCUGCAUGACAGAGUGAGUAGGGGGAUGAAGCCUCUGCCAAUACCUGCAGAAAGCCUGUCCUCUCAUUUGUAGCUCUUUAAUGUCCCAUAAAGCAAAAAGGAAACUUGAAAAGGUUUUCAGUCCAACAUUAUAACCUGAAAAUCUCUAGGUAGCUCUGUCACUCUAGUGUCUUUGCCUUCUCCUGACUGUUGGAAACAUGAGCUAUUCUUCAGCUGGUGGUACACUGAGUCCAACUUCCCCCUUUCCCAAAACACCAGAGUACAAGUGAAGCCCUUGCUGGGUGUGUCAUUCACCCUGCUGUUUGAAUUGCCCAGCUGAAGUUUAUUUACCUCUGUUCAUUGUCACAGUCCUGAACUUGACAGAUUUAUCAGUGAAGACAAUAUAUGCCCUGUG